rnacentral:rRNA from 1 species
UACAGGGGGUGCAAGCGUUGUUCGGAAUUACUGGGCGUAAAGAGCGUGUAGGCGGUUUGUUAAGUCAUUUGUGAAAUCCCUUAGCUCAACUAAGGACGUGCAAGUGAUACUGGCAGGCUAGAGUUUCGGAGAGGAUGGUGGAAUUUUCGGUGUAGAAGUGAAAUUCGGAGAUAUCGAGAGGAACACCAGUGGCGAAGGCGACCAUCUGGAAGACAACUGACGCUGAGACGCGAAAGCGUGGGGAGCAAACAGG